GGGCGGCCUGGAGCGGGGAGCUGCGUGCCGCAAGUUUUGCCCGGAGUGCCAAAGUUGGGCUCAGCCCAGGUUCCUGGAAACUUGAGGAGCAAUCUUCUGUGCCUGAAGAAUGCAGUUCUCACCGGAUGUGUGUAUCCUACAUGAAGGGGAACAGAAGCAGGAUCAGCUGGGGUCCAGGAAAGACAACUUCAGGAGAUUUGAGAGCACUCUGGAGUGAACCAGGAGGAAGCCUUGAACUACAAUUGUGUCAAUAAGAGUGGCUGUCCUUGGGAGAUGCUGAAGCUCAGCUUUAUCAUGAACUUUUCUUACACCCCUCAACAUAUGCACAAAGGACUUAAUUUUGUUUGGGAUUCAUGUGGUAUGAAAGAGUCAUGGCUGUAUGGGUUUCUUCCUCCCUUCACUUGAUGUCUGUAUGUUUCCUGCAGUCAGUAAUGAAGUCUGUACAAGGUCUGCUGACAUUUGGUUUGCUUUCAAGAGCUCUGAGUGACAGGUACUGUAAACAUCCUACACUCUCAGCUGUGGAAACUAAGAAAGCUGGGAGAAGGCUGUUUACUCUCCCUGGCUUGGAAAUCAUCUGGAGGGCGAGGAUGGAACGUUGUGAGCUCUGUGUUCAUUGUAUUUCUGACAGCCUGUACUUCUUAUUUUAUGUUUGGUGUCAGUAAACAAAUAAUAGCAUUAUAUCAUGCCAUCAAGCUCUUGAGUUCUGACUGAGGCUUGAACUCAUAAUAAUAAUUUUAAAAAAGGGCCUUUUGUACAAUACACUUAGCUGCAGUCCUGGCUUUAGGGAAACGCAAAUGGUAGCAGUAACACACAACAAGACCUUCAUCCUUAAAUACUGGGUAAAACAGACCUAUUUUACUGUUUGUUACAAGUUAGUGUGCAUGUUUUCAGGUCCACACAUCAGUGGUGUCUUUUGUUAAAGUCCUCCUUAAAUGUUUGGGUCUUGUGUUCACUCAAUUUAUGUUUUCCUACCUAGAGAGACUAGAAACAGAUGUCUGAAGGCAAAAAAAGGGUUCUCGGGGACUUCAAGUUUCAGUUCCUAUUUGAAGAAAUUGAGAUAUCAACCCCAGGUAGCUCUGUUUUUGAAUAAACUAAAUUAAAGAUGCAAAAGUAUUUAGCUUGGGUUUUAUACUAGCUCUUCUCUGCCACCUGCCAUCCAGACUGAAUUAUUGUUUGUACUUUUCUUGGCAAUCUUUCUUCUUUCUCUCGUUUCUAUUUCCCAUUAGUUAAGUAGGGCUUCUCAUUUUAAAUGUAGAAUAAUUUUUUACUUUCAUUUUAAAUCCAAAAUCGUACUGGCAUGGACUAAAUCCUCAUAAAAUGUACUUUUACAGCUAUUCUUAAGCAGUGAUGUUGGCAGAAAUGCUAUUAUUCAUGCACUUUCUUUUUUUAAAUUUAUUGGAGGGAGCCAUCUUUUGUGCUUUCAAAGAAUUUCUUCGUAAUUCAGUUAAGUGCAAAGAUAACCUUUUCUCUAUCGUCAUAUUUAAAGAUCUGCUGCUUUAGACUUUUAGCAAAAGUAUUUAAACAAAAAAGCUCUGAUAUAAGAAAUGUCCUAAAGAUUUUAAGUAAUUGGAUUUGGGAAGUGAUGGAAGUGGAAAGAGAACAGCAGAAUGGUAGAUCUUGUAAGGUUGUGAAAUAGUACUUCUGCAAAGUGGUCAAAAAAGGGAAUUCAAACAGGCAGAUCUUUAAAGAAAAGAGGGUGGGAAAAGUCCGUGUUCUGAAGCAGUAAUUAUUUAGGAAAAGGAAGUGGAGGGAAAGAAAGUCCUGGGGUCCAGUAAAGUACCAUAGACAGGGUUUAAGAUGAUGAGAUGAGGUCUGGCUUUACAUAAACCUGAAGAACUGGUGUUCAUGAGGUUUUGACUCUUGAUAUGUACAGUGAUACUACAAGUGAGGUUAGUCUUAUAAAAAGAUGGUUUUAUGGAGAAAUGAGUUGUUCAGACUAGUAAAACGAUAGAGGGUAGCAUUUCCUAACACACGUGGUUCCCUCGGCAGAGAGAUAUCUCCAACAGUGAUGGAGCACAGAAUUCUAUCCUCCAUCCUAUGAUAAUUCUGAUUGUAGGCUGUGCUGUUGAGAACACAGUUUCUUGAAAGGAGACGUCAGCUUUAAUAUGUGUUUUACUGUCUUUUUUGUUUUUAAUAUAGAUUUGCUUUAGGCUAGGAACCGCUGUUUUCUGUCAGAUGGAAAAAUCUAUGUUUAGCAUUAUCUAUUUGCUGUCUAAUGGUGAAAUUCCAGCUUUCGUUUUAUCUGUGUAAGUUGGGACUGUUGAAGCUUUUCUCAUACGUUUUUCCUUGGCCAUUCUUUCCUGUGGUUUCACUUGUGCUGGUAUUAAUGUUUGUUUAAACAGUGAGCUUACAGUGGCUCGACUCAGCUGAAAAUUAAACAAGCAAACCAGCUUUUAUCUGGACCAGAUGAGUAAGAGCUUACUGCACUACCAUGGUGCUGUGGCCAAAAUGCUGAUACCUUCAAACAUGUCCACCUUUCUGAAGGGCUAGAACAGAUUUUGCUGUAAAUAAGACCAUCGAAUCCUAAUGCAAUGAGAGAGUGAAAACACAGGAUUUUGAAUGCUCUUGUAUUUGGCAGUAGAUUGUUCUGUUGAUGCUGUUUGAAAGCAAUUGCCAGCAUAGUGCUGAAAUAAAUUUGGAUUAAAUUAUCAUGAUUAAAACUUUUGAUUUCUUGACAGCUAUUUAUGCUUCUGUGUCUUUGAAAGAUUUGUUUAUAAAGUGUAAUAAACAAAUUGUGUUGGUAAUGAGGAGCUACCAGUAAUUUUGCUGCCUCCAGAUCUUUAACUGUAAAGGUAUCUUUGGAUAUAUUUGCACCAGACAAAGCAUUGUGUAAAUUGCAUUAUUUCUAGGUCAUGUUUCGGUCUUUUUCUGUAAGUAUCACUUACCAAGCCAAAGGCAAGCUGAACAUUCUUUUCUUGUGCAAAACUCAGAUUUCAAGGAGUUUAAGACUUUCCAAUCAACUAAACAUAGAACUUUCCUAUUGUGAAAAAACAUACUCAGCUUUUUCAAAACUGUUGCCAAUAAUGAGUUUUGGGUUGGGUCCUUAGGUAAUCUGGAGAGCUACCGCAGCAAAUUGUCUGUGGGAAAUCUGUGAUUGGAGGCAUGGGCAAAAUCUGUGAUUGUAGGCAUGGGCCUUUUGCUGGUUUUUUUUUUUUUUCUUAAUGAGUGUUCUGCUAAGAUGCAAAAGUGACUUACUCUGUGUGAUUCUUGGCACUGCUCAGGACGGUGUCAUUCUUGUGUGCUAAGCUCAACGUGUUCCUUGGAUUGGCUGAUUGACUUUUAAAUGAGGAAGAAGACAUCUUACUAAUUAACCUUUUCCUUACUGCUAAGCAUUAAAGUGUAGGGGGUGAAAAUUACAGUACUCAAAUUUAAUAUAUAUGCUUCACACACGUGAAGCAUAUAUAUUUUUUUCUAGGCUACAUUUUUGAUUAUGUAGCCCCUAGAAGUAAUUACCUAAUAUCCAGUUUUGGUAGUGUAGGGAGUGACUGUGGGAAGAAAGAGUGCUUGGGAGUCCUUGGGCAAAGCUGUCUCUUGUUUGAAGAUUGCAGCCUGACCUUGGGUUUUACAAGUGGAAUAUUAGAGAAACAUUGCAUUAGAAGUUUCAAAGAGCUGCCAGUGGGGGAAAAGGGAGGUGAAGGAGAAAGAGAGGAAGAGAUGUGGGUUACUUGUCAUACAAAGGGGGGGGGAUAAUAUCCAGCUCAUUUUCAGUGCAAAUGAUUUCUUGAUAAUACAACAAAAGAGCAACAAUUGUCCUUGAUGCUUAUACAAAAGUUGAGGAUUUCUUUUAUGCAGUAAAUCUGACUGUCAGGGACUCUAAUUCAGUGUGUGAGAAUUGAAAGGUUUGUGACAAGCUAUUGUACUUUGAAGACCUCUAUUUUAAAAUCAAAGAAAAAGAUUGCUUUGAAUGAGAGAGUGGAAGAAUAAGGCAUUAUAUGGGCUUCAGUUACAACUGCCCCUGAAAUUAGUGGAUUCUAGACUUGAAUAUUUUCUGAGCUGUGAUGGAGAUAAACAUGUAGAAGCAACUCUCUGUGUACAAAAAAUAAACAGGUGUAACAUCUAUAAUAUAUUUGGAAUGUGUAAUAGCAUUAGUUAUUUAUUAGUUAUAUAUAUAUAUAUAUAUUAGUUGUUAUAAUAUAGUUUGGAAUGUGUAAUAGCAAAGUCAACUUAGUUAAAUUUAAAACAGAGCAAACACCUUGGCUUCACUUCAUGCUUUCUUCAAACUUAGGUUUUGUUCUUUGUGCACCUUCCUGGAUGCUUUUUUUUCCUCUUAGAAAAGCACUUUACUAAACAGAAUGCUGAAGCUUCUUUUAUUCUUGUGUGCAACUUUGCUUCUUGUCAGCUCUGGGCUCUAUCCAAGACCCACUCAGCUACAGGUAGGCUUUUGUUCCCUUAUUUUGCUUUGGUUUUGUGGAUGUUAGUGUGAAUUAAAUGGAAAUAAGCUUUUGUAGCAAUUGCUUUGUGUAACGAGCAACAGUUAAACUAAUCACUGCAGUCUAUGUCUAUGAAGUGUCUCAGAAGAGAAGCUUAGGGCUUGCUUCUUUUAAAUAGUGUAUUAUGAUGGCUAAUUGCAUCUUAUCUAAUUCUUCAAGAGGGAGAGUAGAGUGAGGCUGUGUUGCCUUAGCUUUACAACACUUAACUCCCCUCCACAGGAGGAAAUAGUUCUGUUCCUGCUGCAGUUAAUGGGAAAUUCUUGUUGCUGCCUCUAUCCUGUUCUUGAGGUGCUGAAAUAAUAUGGCAGAGCAAGAGACUGUGAUCCUGGCUUUGGAGAGAACCUUUGCACUUCAUUUUCUCUUUUGUGAAAGAAAAUGAUGCUUUCUCACAAGGCGGGGUAUGGUAAACAAACAGAAAUCUCUUUUUGUGCUGAAACAUGUUGCCUAAAAUCGUAUCACUGUGUCCUAGUUUAUCUUGUUAUGUUCCAGUCUUUCACUAUGGUCUAGAGAGAUUGCAGUGCUUGGUUGUAUUACUGGAAAAGAACAAAGGACCUGACACAGGGUUAUCAUAUGUGUUGCUAAAAGUUCCUUCUUGUGCUGCUGGCAUGUUAACCUCCCACCAUGUCCAUGUUGGUGUGCAGCUCCUCUUCUAGGAGCGUGCUGGGGCGGUGCUUCAUCAAUUGCAGCACAAACGUCAGCUAUAAGCUAGCCUCUCCACCACUUGCUGACACCCUAGGCGUGCUCUUAGAUUGGGGUAGGGUUCAGGCCACCCCACUGCAUUAUUGAGGUCAGCAGGGCUAAAUCAACACUGUCGCCAGCUGAGGACUUCUGGGCUUUGUGUCAUUUAAGGCCAUCCUCGAGUUGUUUCUCAGCAUCCUGAAGCACCACCGAAAAAAUGCUGCUAAAACAACUCCAGUUGGGCACCAGUGGGGCAGUGGUGUUGAUGCAGACAAAUGAAAUAACUUAAGGAUCUGCGAAGUUCCUGUUCUUUAGAUGCCUCAAUGUAACUAUAAACUCCAUGAAUAGUUGAGCUUUGUGCAACUUGUCCAGCUUGCAGAUGUUUUUGGCGACGAUGUUUGGAGGCUGUAAUCUCAUGCUUAGUUGGUGCAGUACAGUUGAAAUGCACACAGCGAUAGAUUUUCCUUCUCCUUAGUGCUUUCCACGCUCACUGCUUUGACAGUAAUGGAGCUUCUAAUUAAGAUCUCGCAGCUUCAAUUCGUGCAAUUGAUGAAAUGUUCCAAUAUGCUCUAUGUGCAGAUUGCAUAGAAGGGCAGAUCAAAUCUAAAUGGAAACAGAGAAGGUUUUAUCACCUUGGGGUAAUUGCAUGUAGCGUGCAGCCGUUGAAAUUAGAUGUGACAAAAGCGGUUGUCUCUGUUGUCACUCAGAGCAGCUGUGGGUCACGGGGCACAGGUCUGUGAAAGCAGGGGUGACCAGGCCUGUCUGCUCCUUGACAAACAGUCUGAACUGUGUGCUCACAGUAGUGCUUGCUGUGUUUGUGUCCAGAAGCCUGUCAAGCUGACUUCUAGGGACCCUGGCCCUUCUUAUUCCCAUUAUAGUGCCCCUUGGUCCCCAGAAAGGGGCUUUCCUUUGGGGUGCUCAGCUCUUGCUUUGCUGUUUAAACAUCAGCCUUAUUUUAUGAUAGUUCUUGCUGAAGUUUGCACACUAUCUGAAAGCUUUAGCAAGUAUCCAAACCAAGGAUACUUGGUGGGAGUUGAACCCUAUUGCUGAUGCGAAUCUCUUUUCUGCUCUUUCCAGUGGCAAGCUUUAUUCUGCCAAUGUGUUCUUACCUAUGGUUUACCCAAUGUUUGUCUUUCCUGCAGAGCUGUGUGCCUGUUUGUCUAAAUGCUCCUCAGUGAGGCUUUGUUGCUCUCCAGCUCAGAGCCGGUUAGAGCUGUGGAACCGACCGCAGCCUGGGCCUGUACUGUGGUAGGAAGGGAGCACAGCUAAACUCUUGAGGACAAAAGACAAUGAAUGGACAGUAUAUAGUAAGGUUUUUUGUGAGCUGCUCAGCUCUUCCAAGUGGGGGAGGAAAAGGAUCAAAAGUGAGGAAUAUUAAAGACAAAUUGAAGCUGAUGUUUGAACUACCAGUCCAGGAAACUCCAGAUACAAACUGAAUGGAAAGUUUUCCUCUGAAGUCUACAAAGAAUUUUCAAGGACAAAUCUGAAUGGAGAACAGCAAGGAUUUUCAUCUUUGUGUACUGGAACGAAGUAGUCACUGGCAGCUGGAAAAGAAACUUCAGAUUCUUGGCAGUAAACAAAAAAAAAAGGGUCCAGCUCAGAGGCUGGGGCUGAGUAGAUUUAAAGGCUUUGAGGGGCAAAUCUAAUGGUUUGGGUACAUACAAUAGAACACAUUUAUGAAAAUGAUGACGUGGGAAAUGAAAUGUAUUAGUUAGGGCUUCAAAAUACGUAUACCUGCAUUUGGGUUCUGUGAGUACAUUUUCAGGCUGGAACAAUGCCUGAAAAUAUCUCAAACACAUUGCUUGCGCUUCAGGUUGCAGUCUGUCACUUAACUUUAAAAGAGUCAUGGAUGAUGUGCUCUGAGGUUUACAGAGAGCAAAAUCCUGGUAGGGCAGGUGUUAGGGAUGGACUCGUGCGUCCUUGAAGUGCUCCCCUCCCGCUGCAUCCCUUCCUGAACUUCUAAGGAACUCCACAAGCCUGGAUCCAUUUCAGUUCAGAUUCACCUGAAAUAAAGGUGAAUGUAUAUAGCCGUCGCCAGCAGGGUGAGGUCGUCUGCCUUAGCUUUCUAGGGUGGUUUUUAAUGUCUGAAUUUGGACUGAGACAUCAGAAGAGAUGUGCAAGGGAAGAAAGAUUCAUUUUAUUUCAAGCAGGAACAUGGACGUUUUUGUUAAUUGUCUUCUAGGACUUAACCUAUACACGACCUCAUUCUGGGAAACGUGCUCAAAUAGAACAGAAGUUUUCAAAAAAUCAUUUUAUUUUGGAUUUUUUUUAAUUGUAUUUUAAAUUUACAACCAGUUUUAAUAGUAACACACAGGUUUCAGGCAUAGACAAGUACUUCACAUUUUAGUGAAAACAAAACCCUUUUGUGGAAAUAUUCUCUACUUGAAUGAGCUGUUGGGAACUGCAGUUGGAUCCAGACUGGUAUUUGCCCGUGGACAGUGGAGGUGAAUCUGCAGCACAGGCUCAGGAACUCAGGUGGGAUAUGGGAGGCUGAGCUGUAUGUCUCUGUUCUGCCUCGUUCCCCAAGGAAAGCAGUUCUUGAGAUCUUGACAUCUUUUAACAAACAAGAAAAAACACCAGCCUGUGUGUGCUGCCCAUCCACUCUAACUUCCCAUAUUCUUUUAUUCUGACAGACUUCACUCCAUUGCUUGUUCAUGGACAAGGCAAUAGUGUUAUACUUGGAAGGCUUUGACAUACAGCCUCCUCGAAAGUGUAUUUUCUGAACUGAAUCCUCUUACUCUCAUUUCUGAAGUAGAAGCAUCCAGUUAUGCUUGGGAUACUAUUUUUUUGUGUGUGUGCAAAGGGUUGUGGUAGAAAAGAGGAAUAAGAGCUGACCGUACACAGAAAAGAAAGUAGGAAGGCGAGUAGAAAGUAGGAAAGUAGAAAGUUGAGGAGAAUUUUUUGAGAGAGCCAAAAGAACCAACUUAAUCCCAGCUGAUGCUGUCGGCCCUAUGGAGAUCAACAUUCAACAGCCAGGGCUGCCCUGUUCUGUGGCUGUGUACUGCUAUUGGUCUGCAGCUCCUGCUCCGAGGAGCUCGUCUGAUCCCACUGGGGGGAGUUCAGUACCAACUCUCAGCUGAUGUUCCAUGCCUUGGGUUUUGUAGCUGUGGUGGUUGAAAUCUGCCAACAGCAGAGCACUACACAGCUGUGCACUUGUGUUCAGAUUAAAAAAAAAUUACUUACUAAGACCAAAAAGGAAGAGAAAAGGAAAAUAGUACUGAUAAUAACGUAUAUUUGUAAAAUAAGUGAUGCAUAAUGCAAUUGCUGACUGAUGCCCUGAGCAGUGUCUGCCUCCCCUGGCCAGCUCCUGUCUCCAUGGUGUCACAAGGUAUGGAAUAUCCCUUUGGGCAAAUUAGGUCAGCUCUCCUGCCAGUGUCCCCUCCCAGCUCCUUGUGGCUUGCUGGCAGGACAGUAUGAGAACCUGAAACGUCCUUGGCUCUGCAGAGCAACAACUAAAACAUUGGUGUGUUAUUAACACUGCUUUUAUCCUAAAUCCAAAAUGUAGUAUCGUAUCAGACAACGUGGGUAAAAAAAAAAAAAAAAUCAACCAGCUGAAACAGGACAGGAGCCAAGGAACUAAAUGAUGGAAAAGAAUAGGGUGAAGGAGGUGGAUGUCCAGGCAGACAGUUCUAGAAACAGGCCCAUGGAAAGGCUUAUCUGAAGCAAUCUGAGAAUGGCUUGAGUAGAGAGAAGGCUUGGGAAAUGAAGAAAACAUUGUCCAACAGGAAGAGCAGGAGGAGCUGCUGGAGGUGAUGUGCAGCUCCCUGAGUGAGGAGUCCCCACAGUGCCUGCGCAAAAGGAUUUCAGUGCUGAUGCUGUUCUGGUACAGCAAAAGUUUGCUUUUCUUCUUUGCCACUCUGUGCAGAGAAAAAGCAAUCUAAGAUCCAGAGAAUUAAAAGAAAUCAAAUGUUUUCCUCAGUUUUCUUCAGGGCCCUUCAAGGGGGAGGACAGGUAGUAUGGCACCCCAUGCCACCCCUUCUGCCUGCACUGUGGCUGUAUGCCAGUGCAGGGUGUGUCCUUUUGGUUCCAUUGCAGUACACUGCCUCCAGGUAAAACUGAGAAUAAUUGGAGAUAAUGAUAUAGUAGUAACAACUAAAUCUUCUUGCAGUCCCAAGCACAGGUUGGGUGGAGAAUCGUCUGAGGUCAGCCCUGAGGAGAAGGAUUUGGGAGUGUUAGUUGAUGAAAGAUUCAACGUGAGCUGGAAAUGUGCACUUGCAGCCCAGAAGGCCAACUGUAUCCUGGGCUGCAUCAAGAGAAGUGUGACCGGCAGGUCGAGGGAGGGGAUUCUGCCCUUCUACUCUGCUCUCACAAGACCCCACCUGGAUUGGUAUUGCAUCCAGUUCUGGGGACCCCAACACAAGAAGGACAUGGAGUUGUUGGAGCACCUUGGAGCACCUCCUCUAUGAGGACAGGCUGAGAGAGCUGGGGCUCUUCAGCCUGGAGAAGGGAAGGCUCCAGGAGGACCUUAUAGCAGCCUUCCAGUACCUGAAGGGGUCUACAGGAAAGCAGGGAAGGGACUUUUUAUAAGGAUAUGUAGUGACAGAAUGAGGGGAAAUGGAUUUAAACUGGAAGGGGGUAGAUUUAGACUAGAUAUCAGGAAGAAAUUCUUACUGUAGGGAUGGUGAGAUGCUGGAACAAGUUGCCGUGUUUUCUAAUUCAGGACUAUGUUGCUGGAAAAGCAGAAGUGAUUUUUCUGCUUUAGAUCAAUGUGAAUGCUGUAUUCUGCUUAAUCUCCCUGUUCAUUUGGGAUUCAGGCCAUAGUUAAGGCGGUCUGAAGUGUUUUUGCAGCUAGCUAGUCCAUAAAGUACAGCACAUUUGGCCUAUUUUUGGAGGUUCUUUGAGGCAGAGAUGUUUACAACGGUUGCAUAAUGGACAGGACUUCUUUUGUAAAAAUCCUCCUCGUGUGCCAGCAUCUGGUUUCUGCAAUCUCACUGCUAAUCAGCCUGGAGGUUUUAGAAACUUUCCUUUUAUUUUAUUUUUUGGGUUUUAUUUUUUUGCCUGUCAUGUUCCCUGCUGUUGGAGGUGGGGAGAGGUGAGGCCUUCAGACCUGGCAGUAGCACAAAGCUGCUGCUUGCAUUUUUAGAGCUCUGGCCCUAAGCAGUCCAGCUGACAGAGGCCUGCUAUGUUUGCAUUUUGCAUUUUGCUGGCACUUUUCAAGUUAUUCUUGUCACCCUCUGAAUACCCUCUUUGCCCCACUGUAUUCUAGAGGGCAUGUUAGAAAAGCAGCACCAAAGGAUGAGAUGAUAAAGUCAGACCAUCUUAGAUGGCUUUCUGUGGAAGGCACUGGGACCCCAUGUCCCUUUGGUACAGGAAAGGGAAAUCUUUUAUUUGAAGAAGGCUGCAGAGAGUUUUAAAUACUAGAGCUUUGGGGAGAGCCUAUUUCACAUUUUCAUUUUGAUUAAAUUUAGCAUUGCUCAUUUUUCUGUCAAAAUUUAUAUGUUUAGGCAAUGAAUUUGAUACGCUCAGGAGAUGUGGAUCAUUUCACUUUCUGUGGUUCUUAUAAUGAAGGGUCAGGAGGAGGCAAGGCUUGGUAGCUGGCAGUACAGGGAAGUCCUGGCUUGUCUGGCACUGCAGCAUCCCAUCCAUCUGCCCAGGAUUUCUGUCUGUGUUCAGCUCAGUUAAGCAACGUGAUGGUGUUGAUUUCUGUCUGCAACAGAGGGGAUUGCGCUGGGCAGGUAUUUUGUAUUGUGCCGUCCUGCUGGGUUUUUUUUCAGUUGCUCUUUCAGAAGCUCCGAGCUCUUGCCCAGGAUAAACAACCACACUGUGCUGCUGAGUACUGUGCUUGGAACCUUCACACCCAAAUGCAGUCGUUCUAAGGAACAGCUUUGCUCUGUGGACAGACUCCUUCCUUCUGUGAGUAACAGGGUGGAUAGAGAGACAGAUUAACCUUGCACUAUACUAAAGCAACUGUAGGAACAACAAAAUGAGUGUUCACAGCUCAGGAAAAUCUGGAAUUUCAAAUAAACCCACUGCAUUGACCCAGGCACAGUUUGGCAGUUGUUGCUACAGGGUGUUCAAAUUAAACAAUGAGGUUCCUGGUGUGAUGGAAAAGACUUUGCAAAGCACAUUGGUUCCUCCAGGAUCCAAAUGCACUUUCCCUUUCCAAGGGGAGCUGUGGGCAUUUGGAUCCUUGCAGAGAAGUUCCUGAGGCCCUCUAUCAGCAAAACACUUUUAAGCAUGUCCUUAAGCACUUUGUUGAUGAAGGGGAGACAUGAACUCUUAAUUAUCUGUGCUGAAUAAUAAUCUGAGAGGUUACUUGAGUAUCUUUUCUAACACUUAUACUCUAGCUCUGCCCCAAAAGGCUGAGCCCAAGAGGCCAGUGCUUUACCCUCCGGCUGCAUUUGCCUUCUGUGAACGCGCUCACUAGCCUUCAAGUAAAUGGGGCCGAUAUCUGUCUCUCUGUAGGAAUUUUGCCUGUCCUGAGUGCUUACCAGCUUAGAAGAAUAGACAUUGUGCCUUAUUCAGCUUUAACGGGAGCAGUGUCCAUCUUAUCCAAAUACCGCCGAGUGGGGGGUUAUUAAAUCAUCUGAAGGAAAAAUGAAGAAUGAAGCUAGAAGGGGAUCUGGCUUUCCCUUUCACAUGCUCACAUCUGUAGCAGAAGUGUUGGUGGAUGCCUCAGCCCUACGGCACAGCUGGCACUUUGGAGCCCUUCAUGGGAGGCAAAGAAAGAAAGAAAAGAAACACCCCCAUUCCCCCACCAAAGCAGCGAGUGAUUGCAGCUGUUCUCGAGAAGGGUUGUGUCAGCACAACGUGCAUAGCCCUACUCAGAAAGUUGGUGUCAGCAGCCGUAAAAGCUGGCCUGUCAGCAUUUCUGUUGUAUUUCAUACACAAGAUGCAUGUUACUGAACAAUUACACCGAAGGCGGAGAAUAUUCCUUGGGAACACAACUUGGAAGUAGCAUCUUCCUGUGGGAACAGUUCAGACUGUGUGCUGCAGAAACCUGAGUGGUUUGGAUGCAAGGCCUUGCUGCUGGGGCUCACUGCAAGCUGUGUGGGCUGCCAAAGCCAUAGUGCCACAGCCCAGCCGGGAGCCUCAGCCCAUGUAAUUAGUCAGGUCCUGGUAAUUCUAAUGAGCUUCUGAUCAUGCCAACACAUUCAGUGUGAGGGAAGCUGGGUGAUGCUUAAGUUUUUGGCCUCCGAAGCCUUCGGAGGGUAUAUAUAACUCUAGCUUUGUCUACCGGUCUCAAUGUGUCAUUGUGCUGUAGCCACUUUAAAGGGCAGGAUGGAGAGCUGGGAUGGAGUUCUCAUCUCUGCUUACUGGGAAGCAGAAAUUAAUUAAGGAAAAAGCAAAAACCAAACCCAAAGCAAGCAAAAAGUCAUGCUCAGAGUAGUUAAGGAAGCAGGAGGAAAGGAGCAUAAAAUCCCCAGGCACUCGCUGUUGAUUUGAUCUCUAUCUGUGUACAGGAGCCUGACUAAUUAAUUACAUGUGGCUCCAAGUCUGUUUUCUGGAUCUCUUGCAGACCUCUGGAUGCUGCAGUGAUCCCAGUCGGCACAGAAGCUGCUAUGAUGCUGAGAUGUGUCUUACCACGUGUUGCCCACCUCCCAGCAUAGAGCUGCACAGAGCAGCAGGAUGCAUGAGGCUCUCCCUCCUCAACAGCCCUCAGUGGUGCUCCUAUGGGUUUGGGUGCUCGUGUGAGGCAGUGAGAGGAGUAUGAGGAGUGCUGCGUUCUGCUGGGUUACUGGUGCUGGGCAGAAACUUCAGCCCUAGGGGGGUGUAAGGCCUCAACAUUACUUUAUAGUAUAUGUACAUCUAGGAAACAAGGAACUACCACUAAUAACAGCAAAGUCUGUACCAAGAGCUCUGCAGCAGACAUCUGACCACAGCCGAAGCCACAUUUAAAGCAAGGCAGUGUCUCUGUAAGAGCUAACAUCAGUAUAACAAAGUGAUGCCAGAGGGAACAAGUUAGGAGAAAUGUUUCCAUGGAGUGGUAGUUGGUUUCUUUUCUCUUCCCCCCCGCACCCCUCUCUCCUUUCUUUUCCUUACAUCUUCCUAUUAUUUUUUUCAUCUUCAAUUCGUACUUAAACCUUUCCAACCUUUCUGAGAGUCAGGAGAAUGGUUCUGAGAGUCAGGAGCCCCUCAGAAAAGGUCAGACAACCCAAGUGCACGGCAUUCUGGCUUUCCCAUGGGCCUUCCAGUAGUAUGGCACUCAGUCAAAGCAAACAUGAAUUUUAUCUGUCAGAAGCAAGCUUUAAAGCUCGGUGAUGUGUCUAUAGCUUAAGGUACUUUUACUUUUUUGUGUUGUACAGGUUUUAUUUCUCUCCAUUAAACAUAAGCAGUCUUUUGUUUUCCUUCAUGAACCUGGUCAUUUUUCUAUACGUUUCGAUGAGAAUUGCAUUGGGCUUCUCCCUGCCUUUCGUAGGGCAGCAUUGAUCUUUUUCCAUUUUGGAGAGAGCUGAAUAGAUGGCUAUGUCUAACGAGAGGAGCUUAUCCUUUGUGUUUACAGUUCAUUUCAGGAUAUCUUUCAGUAUGACUGAUCUAUAAAUGCUAAUUGUGGGUGAGGCACGUGGUAGGGGGACUUCUGCAGUCUUGCAGUUUAUGUAUAGGCAAUGCAUAUUGCUCUUCCUAAGGUUAAUAACAGAACUGAUUUUUGUGUGUUGCUCUUCUGAGAGCAACUCAAUCAUUAAUUUUUAGGCAUACGUGCAGGCAGAAUCCUGUUCAUCUCACAAAAUACAAAUAAAUGCUCUGAGGGCUAACUGCAGGAGUUUCUGUAUAAGCUAAAGCUUAACUCUGUAGGACACCACCCCAUCCCCCACCCAGGAACUGAGCGGAUCAUCACGCCCAGCGUUUGUUUUCAACACCACCUUUGUGAAAGCACCUCAGCACAUCUGACUUGCAGGUUGCCUUCUCCCAUGUAGGCUCAUGGUGUCUCACGCUGCCCAGUUAGAGUGCUGGGUACCGUGGGGUUUUCACGACCUUCCUCAUCUGUCUGCAUGUCCUCCCUCGAGUUAUCUGGAAGCUGAGAUGUCUUCUCCACUGGUGUCCUUGAAGUGGGUUAAACUGGAGGACGGAAGCUCCCGAGAGUUUCUAAUGCUGUGGUCUUCCGACAACUCAAAUGAUUUUGGUGACUCAUAAGGAGACACAAAGGCCACCUUUUUCUCUGACUGUGAAAAUCAGAUGGCAAAACCCAACAAAUUAGGCCUGAAAGAACAGAAAAACCUCUCUUUGGUUGCCUGGGAGGGAGGAAAGGAUGGGGAUCAAUGGAUUCACUACAAAAGCAGUCACAAAGUUUCCUUUCUGUCCUGUCAUCCGUAGUGUCUUCAAAAACACUUCUUCCUGAGACAGAGCUUGAACUGGUUCUUUUUCAACUUCAGCCCUUUACGCUAUUACAACUAAUCCCCAGUGGAAAUAUUUCUUUUCCUUUCAUUACUUUUUGUGCGAAUAUUUAUACAGUUAUCUCGCUGUUUCCUUUAAUUUGUAUCCCUUUAGACCAAAUAAAUUUAGUUGCUGUCAUCUUGCUUUCAAAGUUGUAUUCUUAAGUAAUAAAGCAACGUUAAAUAUAGUUGGAAACAGACAACAUGAUGCACCUGAGGCUUCACAAUAAUUCAUGCUUUUGGACACAAUAGUGUCCAUUUUACUAAGACCAGCAAUACACUGCUGUGAAUGAGUCCCUUGUCAGGAGUUUUUGAGCAUUUGAAAUAACAGCUGUCUUUUAAAAUAAUUACGUGUGCGUGGCGUAAAAGCCUAUGUUUGAGAUUUUAUGUAAAUUCUCCAUCCUGUUUUAAAAGUAAUUACAGUGAGAACUUGGAUAUUUAAUUUUUAAACACUGAAUUAAUUUUUUUUUCCUUUUUCUUGUUUGAGCACCGUGCAAUAGCUUGGAAACUCCUGUGACAUCUGACAAGGGACUUCACGGUUCCUGAUGGAACGUGUUGCACGCUCCCUCACAUCCUGCUCUGGCAACAGUAACGCCAUUCAUCCUCCAGCAAGUGGGGCUGGGAGGAAGUCCAGGUUUAUCGCUCUUUUCCUGGGGGGAUUGGAAGGUUCAGGAAAUUAUGGGAUUUAGAGAUCCUUAACUUCUAAAGUAUUUGCUUGAACUGCUCGUAACUGAGCAAUUCAAUGUGCCGCAUAUAUUUUCAAAGACUCUUGCUUACAAUUUGUGUAUUAAAUGGUAUUCUGCAGUAGGCUUUUUCGCUGGCUUACCUGGAAAAAUAGUGUAGAAGUUAAAGAUGGAAUUCCAAGAAUUUGGCAGAAAUUGGCUCCUGUGCAAUUAUAGUAUAUCAAUUGCUAUUUGAUGUACACACUGUACUGCAAGUCAUUGCCUGGUAGUGUAUGCAGGCCUUCCAUUAGCUUCUCUUUGGAGCUACUCUUGAAAUGAAAAGUGGAUGCGAUGAGCACUGGAGGUUUAUCACCAAUUUCUCUUUGAAGAUCUUGACUGCCACUGGUUAAAACUUCUAAGUAAACUUCGGCAGCGUUAUUGAGAUGAUUACACUGGCACUGACUAAUAUUUCCAAUGGUUUGACCAGUAAUUUGAGCUGUGCAAACUCAUGCUUUUGGCUCCAAGCAUUGGGUAUUUUAAAGCAGGCUCACAAUGAGUGAUAGGAAGUUACCUUUCCCAGGUAACACUCUAGACACUUUUUGCCUAUAUACUUAGUUUAAAUUUACUAAGCAAGUAAGCAAUAAAAUAAGGUCCAUAGGGGUAUAUAUAACCAGAGUUGCUUGAAUUUACUGCCAAGAGAUGCAUGAUGAGUAUGAUUAAGAGGCACUUUAUGCUGACUUUCUAAUAACUCUCUGCUAAAAUAUGUACUUCAGACAGUUCUGUCAGCUUUAUUGUUACUUUCUAAUUUUGGUCUAAAGAUUUUUAUCAGAUGUGAUUUUUCCCUUUAGGGAUUAUAGGAUGCAUAAAUUUUUGAAGAUGAGAGAGUUCCUGUGAUUCAUUCCUGGGCUCCAGUGGCCCUGUCUGGACAUCUGGGAUACCUCAGAGAAUCUCAGCGGCACUGGAAGCUACUUCACCUUGAAGCUGGAGUCAGAGAAGAGGACUCUGCUCAACCCUGACUUACUCAAUAGCCUUUACUCUUCUCUUGUCUUUUUGAAGAACGGGUUUGUAGGGACAAGCUGAUAGCAGUCCAUUCCACCUUCAGGAAACCAUAUCUGGUAAAGGAUGGGACUCAUUUCACCUAAUGGUAGAGACCAAAUUCUUAGCUAGUUUACAGUGAGAGUCUAGAUUCCUAGCUUAGAAAUACAAGCACUUUGAGACAGGUUUUGUGAUGAGGAGCUGCCUAGGAUGAGUGAGGUGAUGCUACCUGCUUCUUACUUGUGACUGAAGAAGAAACCUGGGUGACUAAUUUGAACUACAGCCUCAGAGGGUAUAUCUACACGGAGAUAAUCUAGGUAUAUCUACACAAGGAAACCAUAAUGAGCCUGCAAGAGAGCAUAGGGGCACAGCCAGGUAUAGCUUUAGUACACUGCCACUGAAAAUGAGAAUGCAGCUUUGCUGCUGCAUUGAGGUCCAAAGCCAUGCCUUGGGGUGGCUGUAGCUAGGCUGUUGGCUGUAGGGUAUACAGCACUUGGAAAACCGUGCAGCAGGUAAACUCCACUGCAACACUCACCAUAUGGUCCGGGCUAUGGAUCACCAAACUACCCCAUCUUGUUUCAAAACCACCCAUUAAUUAGCACAGUGGCUGUGUAAAACCAUUUUAUGAAGUUCAAUGUGGAUUUGCUUAAAUAUUUGCCCUUUUUCUCAGGUGUUUUUUGUUUUUUUGUUUUGUUUUGUUUUGGUGGGACUUGCCAAGUUCCAUGUUCCUGCUGCACUUUAGGAGUAUUUAGGAUCAUUAGCAUUAAGCUUAACGUGAUCUUUUCUGGGAGGGUUGUGCAAAGCCUGCAACAGACAUACUUCCCUCUCAGGGAGCUAUUUAUGUCUCUUUAGAAAUCCUCAGGCCAAACUGAAGACACCCAUUUCCUCUUUGUGGCAAUAGAAGUUCCCCAGGGAAAGUCCCGGGGCAUUGGCCCUGAGCUGUCAAACCAAACACACAGCACUGCUUCUUCUGAGUACGUGAUGAAUCUCAUGGUUGUGUGAUGGUCUACAAGCCAACUCAUUUUUCUAUUCCUUUUGUCUUCACCUCAUCCUAUGAUAGCUAUAUGUAUAUGUGUAGACAUAAACACACACAUACAUACUGUAAUUGGGAAUGUGGGUGGGCUAUGCUCCUAGUUGUAUUUUAGAAAGCUAAAAUUAGGCUUCUGGUGUUAAAACUACAUACAGUGCCCAGAGCUGUGGUUCAGCUUUGCUUUCUCACUGUUUCCUCAGUAACCAUAGCUACUGCACCUUCAUCACUGUGAGCUUAUUUCUCCGAGAUUCCUUCUUUUAGAAUUACUGGUGUAAUUUCUUACAAAUACCAGCGGAAAGCUCCCAUAACGAACACCCCUCUCUUCCUCUGGCCUCAAUCCCUUUCCUGGCCUAACUUUUCCACCCGUAAAUAAAACCUGCCCCCAGUUUGCUCUGUGCUUGGUUUCCCACCAAACAAAAUUGGUUAGUCACCAAUUUGCCUGUACUCCUUUUGGUUGAUGAGAGCCCUUGAUGCCACCUGUGUCUAACCUCAAGAAAAUAACUAGUGCUCCUGGCUCCUGCUGAGUAUGGUGAUGCUCAGCAGUAAAGCUUAAAAGAUUGAUUAUCCUGAGUCAUUUUCACCAGCUACCAGAGCUGCUAGUAUUUUUUAAAAAUAUAUACUCACAGUGCCUCUCUUCAUAAAAAGUAUGCGAGGAUUUCAGGUCUUUGGCUAGCAGGGGAGCAUAAAUCAUCACAGACACUGUGAUGCUGAUGAUUUGUAUUCUCGUAGCACCUAUUCCAUAGUUCUGAACAGCUACAAAAUACAAGGCAUUCCCUUGCCCCAGAUGAUGGAUAAUCUUGGCAUAGAAGAAGGAAAAUAGCAGAUGGAUAUAGAUGCAUGGGGAGAUACAGUCGGUCUGGGUCGGGAUGAUGCCAGUCUUAGCAACUGUCUAACUGCAGUUGAAUUUUUGAGGCUUUAUGACUGGAUCAUUUCAAAGGAGAGAUACAACAUAAGGAUGACUGUUAUUGUGCUAUCAUAAAAGAAAAGGAGGAAUAUUUUGUAACAUAUCUAAUAAGUAAGGAAAGUCAUUCCUUUUUUGUGUGAUACCUGUUUACACUGUGGACUUCUACGUGAAUAACUCACUGCUGUAGCUGUCACAAUCCAAACCAAUGCGCUGCCAUAAAAACAAAGGCUAGACCAUGACACUUUAUUAUUAUUGUUAUUAUUAUUAAUUUUGACAUAGAACAUGGCUGUCAAAAAUGCUCUGCCUAGGUGAGCAGAAUCCAGUUUAAGAUCAAUGCCUUAGUGCAGGUGACUAUAGCUCUUGGUAGCGCUGCAUACUCCCAUUUCAGUGAGUGUAGAGGGCCUCAGCUAAACAGCCAUCAGCUGUCUGCUCUGCAGUGAGUCAAAUCAUUCUUAGGCUCCCUUAGCUGCAUUGGUUAGGUUGUCAUUGACUAUAGCAGAGCUUGUUGGUUAGAUUUCCCACUGAGUUUUCUUGGAGCUUGGAGGCACAGCCUAAAUUUCCAACCUGUUCCAUCCUGUUGCCCAAUUUCAGGUGGUCUGCUCAAAUGUAUCUGCCAAAUGAGAUGUCUCCAGCUUGGCCAAUAGAUUAUGCUUUUUAGAUGUAGGUUUACUGUAAGACUAGUAUCUUAUCUUGCUGUGCUGGACAUCUCUGAUUCCUCUGAAUACCUCAGAUGUCACCAGACAUCAGAGUUUGGAUGACUAAUUCAACUGUCCUUGCCCUUUAAUGCUUAAGAAGCCUGCUCAGAGCCUGCCAUCAUGAUGUAUGUCUUCACGUUGGUAGUCUCAAGAGCUGGUGUAUGAGCAGUGGGUAAAGGAUGACUUGGUAGCUAUCUCUUUCCUAGUGUUGGAGGAAUGCUCAGCCUAGAUCUAUGCAGAGGUAGCAUCCCACUAGGGACAAAGAAUUUGAUGUGGGAGUGAAAGAAAGCCAGUAGGCAGAGAUCCCACACAGCAUGUUCUCAGUUAAAUGCUUCAGGUUGCCAUGGCUUUUACUACAAUACACUGUCAAUGCUGUAUUCUUAUUUUGAAUGUCUUGUCAUGCAUGUCACAUGAACUGAUCGCUGUCUCUGCACUUUGUACCAGUGACUCAGCUCAGCAGGGAACAGAUACAGCAGGAGCUACCCAUCAGGUAACAGCAAUGUGGCAUCACUGGCAUAGGGGUGCAGUGGGCUUUCUGUAGACUGGGUGCAAACUUUUUCCCUGACACCAGGCAAACUCACGAGCUGCCAGACUCCGUGGUUUGUGCCCUCAUGACAGGGCUGUGGUGUUGAUGUGUCUUUCACUUGCUGUAGUACUUCACAGACCAGGUGAUGGCACCUCACAGAUCUAUGCCGACGUCUAACAGGCACACAAGGUCAACCUUAGGGCUAGGAAACUAAGAGAUCCAUGCUUUGGUCCUGCAUCUUGUGCGUACAGCCCACUGAGGUGAAGACACAUCAUUUUCUUGGUGUUACCAACCUCAUCCACCCUUCUUCACUCUCUAUGCUCAUUUUGCAUGUUAUUUUGUUGCAUUUUGCAUUUAGUUUUGUGGGUAAACAAUGGUGCUGGACUCAUGCACGCUAUCUGACUUGCACCAGUGCUAACACGAGCUGAUCCCAAGUGAGUUACUCAAGGUCAAGGAUGUAGCUUGCUUUCUCUGGUUUUGUACACAGGGCUGUACAAUAAGUCCUUGACUGGGACAAGCAACUUGCUUUAAUACAAGAAAGAAGUUGUUUAUUUGCAAGGAGAGCAAGACUGAUGCUGCUGUUAUGAAAAGCAGGCAUGAGGAAGGAUGUAAAUUUUUCUUCACAUCUAAACUGUAUGAUUUUCUCUAUAUUGUUAUAUUGAUUAGCUUUGCUAACCUUCUCCACUCUUGGAGGAGAUAAAUGCUUGUGGUAGAAGAAUUCUUGGUUACUUCAGCAUACACCUCUUUUGCAAAUGAAAGGAAGUGUUAGAGAAUGAAGAAGCAGCCCUGCAUCAGUGUAUGAAACUGUGUUACAUGCAGAGACAUCCACAGAGGACCAGAACUGUCUGUGUUGGUUUGCUGCCGCGCAGAGAAGCUGCAAUUAUAUUAAUCUAUCCUUUUACUGAAGUGGAAAUAGGAACACUUUCUGAUCAAAGAUUACAAAGACUGCUUUUAAAUGUCAGUUUUUAAAGGACAUUAGCUAUUAAGAGAUGUACUGGAUAGCAUCUCCUUGGUUUUGAGUAUAGUAUGCAAAAAUAAAAUGUAAUGGCUCCUCGUGGCAGGCUGCAUUUAGACUUCGUGGUGGUUUGGUGCUAACUCAGAAAAUCAGAACAAAACUUUAAUUUUUUGUACGUGCAGAGCUGCAGUGAUUCCACAUGCAUUCCUUUCCAUACUACACCUGUCUUACAGAGCAGACAACUUGUGAGGUAUCCUGAUUCCAACAUAUACAUAAUUCUGGAAAAAUAAAAUAAAAAAGAUAUUUUGAUACUAUUUAUGUAGCAGCUUUACUAAAAUUUACUCAGAAUGGUGUCCUCGGGAAAGCACAAUUUUAACCACGUGAAAGGUUGAAAGAGUUUACUAAUCCCAAGAGAAAGAAACUACAGAAACUUGCCAAAUUUAGUUGUUUUAAUUAGAGAUAUUACAGAAAACAGUACGUCAUUUUCUUCCAGAGAAUCAGUGUUCAUUUACUUACAGGAAGGGUAAAAGGUUAUGAAACUUUCCUGAAAGUAUACAAAUACAUUGCAUGAGGAAGACCUUAAAGUUUGUGAAGCAAAGGCAGCACCCUUAGACUAUGUCAUGCCUGGCACUUCUUGUAAAUGACCACUUGGAGUGAUUGCUCCAAGGUGUUGUAAACUGGUUGGGAUGAAGUUGAGGUUCUUCACGAUGGCUCUGUAUGGUGCUGUGUUUUGGAUUUGUAGCUGAAACAGUGUUAGCACACCAAUGGGUUGGUGCUAAGCAGUGCUUGCACAGUAUUAGAACCUUCUCUUUUUCCCACUCAGCCCCCACAGGAAGCGAGUGGGCAGGAGAGUGGGAGGGCAGCACAGCUGGGACAGCAGACCCAAAUGAACCAAAGAAAAGCUGAGGUAGGAGAAGAAAGGGUGGGCCAAUGUUCAGAGACUGGCAGGACAUUGGUCUGCCUGUGCAAUCUCCUGUGUUUCACUUCUAUUAUUCUCUUCCUUUACCUAUUAAAAUGUCUUUCUCUGAACCCACAGGCUCUGUCACUUUUGUUCUUCCUAUGUUCUCCUUCCUUCCUACUAGAUGAAAGGAAUGAGCAAGCAGGCCGCCAUGGUCCUUUUUGAUGCCUAGCAUGGGGCUUGAGAGGUUUCAGACAAGGAGAGAAUGGCACCUUCUCUUUCUCCUCUGGGACAGAAGUUGCCAGUCUUGUGCAAUGACUCUUUAAGUUCUUGGGCAUCCCUGCACAACAAGGGCUGUCACACCAGUAUGGGCCAUGAAUAUGACUUUGUCUUUGCUUAAGAAUAAUCAACUAGCAGGGAAUAUGGCACAGGAAUCUGCUCAGAAGCAGCCUGGGUGACAAAGAGGGAAAGACAAUCUGGAUUCUGUCCUAGGUCCGGCUAGGAUGGAGUUAACUCUCUUCAUAGCCACCUAUGUGGUGCAGUGCUCUGGAUCUGUGACUAAAGCAGUGCUGGUAGCACCCUAAAAACCAUACAGCAGCUGGUAUGCCAACACAGUUGGACAUCAAAGUGCCAUCAGGUCUCCAAAGAAGUAUCUCCAAAGGACUGAACCAAAACCAAUGGGAAUUCAGGACCAUCUUUAAGCAUACGUCAGUGUGUUCCAGGCCAUCCUGGUAGGGCCCUGUUUACUGAUAGUUUUCAUCGGCUCCUUGUGCCAUCUUGUAAUUUACAGAUUAACCUAAAGAGUCCUCUUUUGCAGUGGGACACCAGUAGUGGUGGUAAUACUUGAUUAUCAGGUGUGUAAUAUAACUUCCUAAUUAAGAAACUGGUGCACAUGGGUCACUAGUGCUCGAAACGGUCCUUAUGCUUUGUUUUGCAGUUUGUGCUGUACUUUUGCAGCCAUAUAAACCUGUAGGUGAUAACAUCAUAGUUAGCUUACAAUAAUUUAUGCUUGGAUGAAGUCCUGAAGCUGUACUGCUAUAGACAAAAUCCCACAGUUGGCUGUAUUUUGAAUUUACUAGCCAUCUCAGACAGAUAGACUAACUCCGGAAGCAUGGAAUCAGUAAUCAGUAAUCAUAGAAUCAUAGAAUGGCCUGAGUUGAAAAGGACCAUAAUGACCAUCUAGUUUCAACCCCCCUGCUACGUGCAGGGUCGCCAACCACCAGACCAGGCUGCCCAGAGCCACAUCCAGCCUGGCCUUGAAUGCCUCCAGGGAUGGGGCAUCCACAACCUCCUUGGGCAACCUGUUCCAGUGCGUCACCACCCUCUGUGUGAAAAACUUCUUCCUAAUAUCCAACCUAAACCUCCCCUGUCUCAGUUUAAAACUAUUCCCCCUUGUCCUAUCACUAUCCACCCUCGUAAACAGCUGUUCCCCCUCCUGUUUAUACGCUCCCUUCAAGUACUGGAAGGCCGCAAUGAGGUCUCCCCGGAGCCUUCUCUUCUCCAAGCAUCAGCAAAUACAUUACAUUCUCAAUUAAUUCACUACUGCAGGUCUUGUGAAGGGCUUGUUUCUGCCUAUGUUUAAAGGAUGCUUCCUUUUUUUUUUAACAAUGCAUUUUGUAAAAGUAGUACAGAGUCCAUCUGGCAGCAAUUCAUUUCAUUCACUUUUAAGUCUGCUAGCUUAGCCAUCUUGUUUUCCUAAACUUCUCCAGUGGUUAAAGAAGCAAGGACCUUUUCUUGGUCCUUUUUCACUUCUUCACUUUAUCUUUUAUUAGAAGAUAGUGAGAACUGACAGCAGACCUGUAGUGCAAAACAGUCAGUGCUGAGGACCUGGCCCUUACAAUAUGAAUAUUUUGGAGACCUUUUUCUUCUUGAGACUAGCCCUCGUCUACUCCUAUGGACUGAAUGCCCACUGCACCCGGAGUGGAUUAUGUGCACUCCUGUACUUUAUCUUCCAGACUGUUUUAUCUAAAAAAAUUAGGUUAAUAUGUGCUUUGAGACUGUGUGAAUCAUAAUGUGAACCAAAGCCCAGUAGGUGGAAGGAAUGGAAGGUUAGUGGUAAAAGCAUUCUUCUGAUCCAGACUUACACACUGAUAGAGAUGCACUCUCAAAGAAAAAGAAAGAGAGACUUCUUCAGUCCUAAGUUUAAAUGUUUGUGUUAGGAUUAAGUGAAUAAUGACCUAAAAGUUCCAGUUUCUCUCCAGGAGACUCUGAGCAAGUAGUUAGAGGCACACAUGCUGAAAAUGUCUGAUGUUGCAUGGGAAGCCAACAUCUUCUUUCUGUAUCUGAGAGAGAUGACAGAGAUGUACUUGAGGAUUCCUUUUGAGUUCUAUUUUGUUAUGCUUUUUGCUGUUGGGGGUUUUUUUGUUGUUGUUGUUGCUUUUUUUUUUUUAAGUCAAAUUGAAUCACUUCUCAUUUUCCAUCAUUUUCAUAGCCAGUAUGCUAAUCAUGAUUUCUUUCACAAAUUUUAUUCAUUUCCUGAUGUUUUCUUCCUGGCUCAGAACGUCUCACAAACACAUCAACCAUCACCAGCUUUCACCCCACCAUCUGAGCGCCAACCUCAUUAAAUCUCAGGACUGCAUAAAGGAAUACUGAUGCUGGAAGGAGGUUUAAAUCAUAUAUUGGUGGAUAGCUGACGGCACUGAGAGCCUGUGGUCUGUGAACAUACUGAAUUAUCAAGCUCCUUAAAGAAGUAAUGAAUACUGCUCAUACUAUCUGCAACAAGCAUUCCUUUGUAAAACAGAUGAAAGAGCACACCAAAGCCAUGAUAGUGGAGCUGUGUCUGCUGAAAAAACAGUGCUGAGGAUGAUUUCUCCUACUCGACACUUUUAGACCUAAAACUAUGCUGUGGGAUUUGGUUUUGGUUUGUUUGCUUGCUUGCUUUUGGCAUGCUCUCAGAACUACAGAUUAUUUGGCAGCUGAAGGCCAGCUAUGAGUUGUGUUGCAGGGUGACACAUUUCAUGGAAAUUUAAUGCAAAUAGCAAUCAUUCUCAUCAGGAGCAGAAACAGGAGAUCUCUCGCCUUUCUAGCAACUGCAGACACCUGCAUGAGAGUGAACUGCAUGAGAGUGAAUUGCUUGUGUCAAGCCAGCUGCCUUACAAAACAUCCAGCACAAUGGAUGCUUUUUACGACCAACAAACUUAAAAUUACAGCUCUUGUAUGCCUGGAAACCUUUAUUUCAUUUUCAUACUGUUUCCUUUGAAGAAUUUAUUAAUGCAUGCAAACAUGUAGCGUGUUCUUUUAACCUGUGUUUGCUGCAAUGUUUACAUUAUCUCCUGAUCUUAACCUGUAGCUUCCCAUUACGAAGACAUGUUACCAUAAAACACCACAAGGCAAAAAAAUGCCAUUGUUUUAAUGUUCUGCAAGUGUGCUACAAGUAAACUGUGCUGUACUGAACUCGGUCAAAAUACUCAAUGCAUUCUGAGCACACUACCACCAAUAUAUUGGUGGCCCACUUUGCCACACGCAGAAGGACAAUGAUGUGCUUAUUGACUCAUCUCUUUAUUCUGAACAGAGGGAACUCACUUGGAUGCCACUGGUCCAUUCAGCCCGGCCAAACACUGGUUUAAAAAACAGUGAUGUCUUUCCCAAGCACAUCAGAGGCUGCCUGUACUGUACAGAGGCUGCAAAGGGUUCAGGCUGUACUACGGGAUGUUACAAAGAUAAGCAAGCUGAUUUUGGAAUAUUGCACACACUUACCGUAUUCAGAUGAUUUUAGUUACUGCACCAGACUCCUAAAGUGAAUAUUCUUUAGGAUUACUUGUUAAGGCAUAACUCAGCUUGCCCAUAUCAGAAGAGUUUUCUAUACUUUGUUCACUCUUCAGCAUCACCUGCAGUAGUAUUACAGCUCUUCAACUUGCCACCUUGCAUGCUCCAUUCAGGUGACAAGAACACUUAAUGGCACUGAGCAGAUAAAGGGCUGGAGGGCUUUUACAGGCUCUACUAAAGUGCUUUCUUCAGACUAGAAGUGCACAAUACCACGGUGAUAAGGCUGUCCUGUGCUGAUCUAAGGAAGCCUCUGAUAAGGAAUAUAAUAGGAGCAAUAGGUAAGAUUAAAAAAAAAAAAACUUUCAUUCCAAAAACUGUGUAUCUGUGUAUACCAACUGCUUACAGAGUUUUCUCUGAAGCUCAUGUUUGCAAAGUGUUGCAUGCUUCAGCUCCAUCUUAAAUGGUUUCAUGCCACAAACUGUGGGCCAUUUAUUGCUCAUCACUCCAAAGCCAUUGAACUCUUCAGCUGGGCAGUCUGCUCUCUCCAGCCUUCCUACUGAGAAUAAACAAGAAAUUGGCAGGGAUGGGGAGAAGGGGACAUCAAAGAGUGCCAGGAAGGGCCAACACAGAACAGCCCUACCCUAUGCAGCCAGGGACUGGGCUGGUGUUUUAGCACUAUGCACAAUAGUUUAGCUAUGUGAAUCAGCCCACACAGCUGUAAAAAUCACUGGACCCGUGAUAAGAAAAUGAAAGACAGUACUGUUGAUGGUUUCUGGGUUCACUUGUUUGCUUUUAUAUCUCACUCUCUGUAUAGCUGCCUUAAUCACAAGCUAAAAGCCUUGUGAAGGAUCAGCGACCUAAAUAAAAACUGCAUCUCUGAUUAAUUUCACCAGCUUUUUUAUUUAUACGGGUUUCGUACAGGUGAUAUACAAAGCACGAUACAGGCUAGGAUAGACAGCAGGUGGUGGCAGUCCCUGCCUGCAGGUAGUCAUCCCACCCACACUGAAUGACCUUGUGCCACCUCCAAGUGGGACUGACUGCUGCGGAGUUUGACAGAGGUAAUGGUGGCAGCCACCUCCAAAUCGUCCAUGGUGAACCACAUAAGAUCCACAAUUGUCCUCCUGAGAGCAAAGUACAGAACUGCACAAAUGUCUAUCAUUUAACAUUGACAUUUUUUACUUUGUAGGAAUCCAAUGAGUUCCAUGAGUCAUG
ensembl:lncRNA